GAAGGAAGAGAAAGGGUUUUAGCGCGCCUUUGAGACUCAGGGUGCAUCUACACUGUCCAAUUAACUGCAGUUUGACGCUACUUUGACUGCCUGGCUCAAUGCUAUUUAAUCCUGGGGUUUUGUAGAGAGAUGCACCCAAAGGGAGAGCAAUGCAAGGAUUCGAAGGAGAUCAGCACUGGGUUGCUGUGAGUUUUCCGGGCUGUAUGGCCAUGUUCCAGAAGCAUUCUCUCCUGACGUUUCGCCCAAAUCUAUGGCAGACAUCCUCAGAGGGCAGAUGUGAAGUCAGACCACAUUAUCUCCUCCCCUCCAUCGACUUAGAAAUGGAGAUUGGGCCAGAAAGUGCUGAAUCUAUCAACUAUCAAAAGUCUUUCAUAAAUCGUUGAACUUCUGACAAAAGCAAACUAAGUUCCCCACAAUAAGCUUUCGAGCAUUUAUACCCUGCCUUUCUCACCCGAGGAGACUCUAGAAGCCUUGAAUCCUAUGUUGGCUCACCUUGGCUAUGUCCCAAUAUUAUCCUCUUCACUUUUUCCUGACAUCAAGAAUCCUGGCACUGAAAAGGGCUAAGACCAUAGAUGUUUCCUCAGAGACUCUUUGAUCCCCACCUUAACUCUGAAAUUGGACUUACUGGCAUCAGGAAUGAAAAUGCCAAUUUUCUCUUUGGCUCUGGGACAAUAGGAUAACACUGUUUGUUAUAUUAUUUUAAAACAAAAAUUUAAUAAACAUUCUAAGAACGGAAGGAUAAAGAAAAGCUCAGAGUGCUUAUAGGCAAAGGAUCUCUAUGAGUUUGUAGUUCAAAUACAUGCUGUUGUAUAAAAGUACUCCUUAUGUCUAAAAAUCAAAAUUCUAAUGUUGCCUCUUAUUUAGUGGCAACAGCCUUUCAGAUGCUUUUGGACUGCAACUACCAUCAUUCCCCACCAUUGACUAUGCUAGCUGGGGCCAAUGGAGAUUAUGUGACUGCAGCAGACAUAUUCCAUUGCAUCAAGAAAGUACACUUGUUCAUAAUAUAGCAACGGUGUUAUGCUUUUCAAGCCCUGUGACAUCCUGUUUUCACUUACUAACCUCGGUAGCAAAGCUUGAUCAAAGCAUCUUGCCUGUGGGCUUGAAAUGUAUUUUCCAAAUUUAAUAAAGGAUGACCUGAGUAAAUAAAUAUAAAGUCUAGGCCCUUAGUAAUGUAAAACAGUUGAAACUCAUGUUAUUAUCAAGUCUGUUAAGAUGUUUCUUGCUGUAUUUCCAUCCCAAAUCUCAAAGUAUUUUUACUAUUUGCUCUUCCCACUAGUGAUCGGAUAAAGAGAAAAUCCAAUAGGCUGUUUUUUCCUCUUUGAUAAAUGUAGUAAGUUGGCUCUUUGCCACCAGGAAGAUCAGUUUUAGAGUCUUGGUUGACAUCAUGGCCAAACUGCUGUCCAGUGACAUUAAAGACUCAAUUUGUAUUA